rnacentral:rRNA from 1 species
UGGGGAAUUUUGCACAAUGGGGGAAACCCUGAUGCAGCGACGCCGCGUGAUUUAGAAGGCCUUCGGGUUGUAAAAAUCUUUUUUAUGGGAUGAAAAUGACAGUACCAUAAGAAUAAGGUCCGGCUAAAUACGUGCCAGCAGCCGCGGUAAUACGUAUGGACCGAGCGUUGUCCGGAAUCAUUGGGCGUAAAGGGUACGUAGGCGGCCCAGUAAGUUAGAAGUGAAAUAAUAUAGCUCAACUAUAUAAAGCUUUUAAAACUGCUAGGCUUGAGGGAUGGAAGGGAAAGUGGAAGUCCUAGUGUAGCGGUGAAAUGCGCAGAUAUUAGGAAGAAUACCGGUGGCGAAGGCGACUUUCUGGUCAUCAUCUGACGCUGAGGUACGAAAGCGUGGGUAGCAAACAGG